rnacentral:rRNA from 1 species
CAAUUCGGUAUAGCUUGAAUAUAAGUAGAUUACUUUAUGGAGAGGAUAAAUAUUUUAUUUAUUAAAUCAUUUUUCUGUUGAUGUAUUGAUUAAAAAUUUAAUUAUAAAUAUUGGUUAUAAUUCAUUUGUACUGUGAGGGAUAUUGUUAGAUAAUAUUUUAUUAAUAAAGUAGAAUUAAUUUUUGUACCUUGUGUAUCAGGGUUGAUUAAAAUUUAUUAUAAAUAUUAUUUUUCUCGAUGUCAUUAGAGUUAAUACAUUAUGUUAGUUGUUGUGAUAUAAACAUUAAUAAUAAUUUAUUAGUGAUGAAAUGUUAUUCGUUAAUGAAGAUAUCUAGUUUUCUAGGAAAUAAAUUUAAUUUACUUUUAUUCUUUAAAGGGUUUAAUUCUUUAGAUACUUUUUAGUUUAGAAUAUUAAAUAGGGGGAUAAACUCUUAUUUAAAUUUUUAUAAGUGAUUUUGGUUCAAGAGCAUUGUUGAUUUAAUAAUAAUUAUUAUUACAAAUAUGUUAAAAUUUAACUUUUGAUAUUUUGUGAUUUAUUUCUCUUUAUUUGAUUUACUAGAAUAUUAAUUAAAAUUUAUUAAAUUUGUUAAUAAUGAUUAAAUUAGUAUAUAAUGAAUUCUUUUAGUAAAUAAUUUUGAGGAACUGGGCAAAUAUGUUUAUCUGCCUGUUUAACAAAAACAUCUCUUCCUGUAAUAAGUAGGAGGUAGGGCCUGCCCAAUGAAUAUUAAAUGGCCGCGGUAUUUUGACCGUGCAAAGGUAGCAUAAUCAUUAGUCUUUUAAUUUAGGACUGGAAUGAAUGGUUUGACAAGAUAUCAUCUGUCUUAAAUUUAUUGAAUAAAAUUUAAUCUUUGAGUAAAAAAGCUUAAAUAUUGUUAUGGGACGAGAAGACCCUAUAGAGUUUAAAUAUAUAUAGAUCACUAUUAAUUUUAGUAUGUACAUAUUUGGUAUCAAUAUCUAUUUGGUUGGGGUGAUUGGAAGAUAAAAAUAACUCUUUUUGGUUUAUAAAUACUUAUAAGUAUUCUUUUGAUCCAUUAUUAAUGAUUAUAAGACUAAAUUACCUUAGGGAUAACAGCGUAAUCUUUUUUGAGAGUUCUAAUUGACAAUAAGGGUUGCGACCUCGAUGUUGGAUUAAGAUAAAUCUUAAGGUGUAGAAGCUUAAGUAAUAGGUCUGUUCGACCUUUAAAUUCUUACAUGAUCUGAGUUCAGACCGGCGUGAGCCAGGUUGGUUUCUAUCUAUUAUGUUAAUAAUAUACUUUAGUACGAAAGGACCAAGUAUUAGGAAUAAUUUCUUUAAUUUUGAAUAUUAAUACUAUUUUGGCAGAUAAGUGUAAUAGAUUUAGAAUCUAUAAAUGUAGUAGAUUAACUAUAAAUAGU